AGGAUAUAAGAUGCGUAACUAAACUCAGCGCUUCCCCAGCUGCAAUUCUGGGACUGCAUAGUAGGUCCGUUCUGCUUGAGAGAAAGCAGGCAACUGUAAAAAAAAAAACAAUAAAUAAGAGAUUAAAGAGAAAAAGUUUGAUAAUUUUUUUGCUAACUCUACGAAUCGUCUCUUUAAGAAUUGAUUUAUUAACACUUUUACCAGGUCGAAGAAGCAGUGUUGAACAUUCCAGAAACUGAGCAACCUAGACUUUAUCAGGUCGGAAAAACUAUCUUGGUUCUCAAGAAGAAAGAAUCUGACGUCAAUCUGAGAAAAUACAGCGAUCUAGAAGAAACAAGUCUAUUUUCUGAGAAGAUCCGGUUUAAAUCCUCGAUGUUUGAUGAUCAUAUGCCCUGGGCCUACAAUUCACUGUUCAAAGAUUUUGGAUCUAAUUGUUCGGCUGUAGACCACCUGGAUUUAUCAGCUUUAGAUUUUCUGCUUGGAAUACCACCUGGAGAAAUCAAACCUGAACCUGAACCUGAACCUGAACCUGAACCUGAACCUGAAACUAAAGCAUUCUCCUCCAAACUGUACCCAGAUCUGGAAGAGAUGCAGGACUAAAUAAUCAGAAGAAACUUAGUUUUUGACACAAGCUCAAAUUUUAUUAUCCAAUAAAUUAUACAAUUGCAGCAUGGGACCAAAG